UACGUAGGGUGCGAGCGUUGUCCGGAAUUAUUGGGCGUAAAGAGCUCGUAGGCGGCCUGUCGCGUCGGAUGUGAAAGCCCGGGGCUUAACCCCGGGUCUGCAUUCGAUACGGGCAGGCUAGAGUUCGGUAGGGGAGAUCGGAAUUCCUGGUGUAGCGGUGAAAUGCGCAGAUAUCAGGAGGAACACCGGUGGCGAAGGCGGAUCUCUGGGCCGAUACUGACGCUGAGGCGCGAAAGCGUGGGGAGCAAACAGG
rnacentral:rRNA from 1 species